AAGUCGUAACAAGGUUUCCGUAGGUGAACCUGCGGAAGGAUCAUCAUUGAAUCUAUAUUCUAUCAACACUUGUGAACAAGGGCCAUUCGCUUUGGCGAGUGCGCCUGCAUGCCUAUGUGUCUGAUGUUGGCGGGGUCUGUGUACGUGUACGGCCGGUAUGGCCUGCACUGCAGCCCGCCAAUAGCACGACCACUAAAACAAAACACUGUUGAAAAACCAAAACUAAUACAAAUUUAUAUGAAAUAUAUUUAAAACAACUUUCAACAAUGGAUCUCUUGGCUCUC
rnacentral:misc_RNA from 1 species